GAUGAACGCUGGCGGCGUGCCUAAUACAUGCAAGUCGAGCGAACAGACGAGGAGCUUGCUCCUCUGACGUUAGCGGCGGACGGGUGAGUAACACGUGGAUAACCUACCUAUAAGACUGGGAUAACUUCGGGAAACCGGAGCUAAUACCGGAUAAUAUAUUGAACCGCAUGGUUCAAUAGUGAAAGACGGUUUUGCUGUCACUUAUAGAUGGAUCCGCGCCGCAUUAGCUAGUUGGUAAGGUAACGGCUUACCAAGGCAACGAUGCGUAGCCGACCUGAGAGGGUGAUCGGCCACACUGGAACUGAGACACGGUCCAGACUCCUACGGGAGGCAGCAGUAGGGAAUCUUCCGCGAUGGGGGAAAGCCUGACGGAGCAACGCCGCGUGAGUGAUGAAGGUCUUCGGAUCGUAAAACUCUGUUAUUAGGGAAGAACAAAUGUGUAAGUAACUAUGCACGUCUUGACGGUACCUAAUCAGAAAGCCACGGCUAACUACGUG
rnacentral:rRNA from 1 species